UCCGAUAAACGCUUUUUUCUACUGUAAAUUAUGUAAUUAUCUGCCUACAUCUCUAUAGAUAGAUUUAAAAACGCAUUUUGCAUAACACCGUUGACGGAACGUUUGACACGAAGAACCGGUGCGGCCAGGUAAUGAAACCGUGCGCGACGAGUAGAUUAUAAGGAGACGCUCCAAAAUGCCAAGUCUCUUGUCUCUUGUGAUUGUUCCGUAGCGGUGAAACCGGGGUCGCCGAGUGUUUCGAAAACGUUU